UGUGUCUACGUACUUUUGCACAAAAGCUCUCUGCUACAUUUUUUCUUCCUGGUUUGGAAGCAUGUUAAUCAAGUCUCACCUUAAGUUUCUACCUUGUUGUCCCCAUAAUUAAGCAAACAAUGAAAGAUGAGCUUAGUAAAGAUGUGAUUUUUUGCUUAUGUGGUAACAACGUACUAAAGGUUCGUGACAGGAUGUAUUCUGCUUUUGUGUUUGGG
rnacentral:misc_RNA from 1 species